GGAGAGAUGGCAGAGCGGUUGAAUGCACUGGUCUUGAAAACCAGCAUAGGUUAGUAGCCUAUCCAGGGUUCGAAUCCCUGUCUCUCCGCCA
rnacentral:tRNA from 1 species